UCCCACGUCUUCAAGGAAGUGAAUGAAAGGACCUGCAAACGCUUCCCUGGACCCGUCUCAGAGGCUCCAUCAAGGACUAGGCCCCCCAGAAGGAGCUCAUGAGCUGUGGGCCCCGAUGUGCCAGGUGCUUGCAUGCACCCCCGUUCCGACUUCGGCCCAGGGAGGCGUAACAGGCACAGAAAUGCUUCGAAGCUUUGCAGCGCACCUGCCUCGUACGUACGCCCGUCGGCAUACGGAUGUCUAAGAGUUGACCGUUUUCUCGCUAUUAUAAACAGCACUGCUUUUUGGGUCUCAAGUUCUGACUGUGGCUAGCGUACAGUUCCUUCGUGCACUCGGAGCUGGUGUCCCGUCGUCUUGCUGUACCACUGGUUCUAGCAGCUUCACUGCGGAUUCCAUCCGGGCUUCUACACAGACGGUGAUUCUAUCUACCCAUGAAAAGAGUCGCUUCUUCCUUUUUUGAGAUGAAUGCCUUUUGUUUUUCAUUCCUUACGGCACCGGCUCGAACUGCCAGCCCAACGCGGAGUAGAAGUAGUGAGAACAAGCAUCUUCGACUCGUUUCUGCUUCUUGGACAAAAAAAAAAAAAAAAAAAAAAAAAAA